rnacentral:rRNA from 1 species
GACGAACGCUGGCGGCGUGCUUAACACAUGCAAGUCGAACGGUAAGGCCCUGCUUUUGUGGGGUGCUCGAGUGGCGAACGGUUGAGCAACACGUGAGUAACCUGCCCUUGACUUUGGGAUAACUUCAGGAAACUGGGGCUAAUACCGGAUAGGAGCUCCUUCUGCAUGGUGUGGGUUGGAAAGUUUCGGCGGUUGGGGAUGGACUCGCGGCUUAUUAGCUUGUUGGUGGGGUAGUGGCUUACCAAGGCUUUGACGGGUAGCCGGCCUGAGCGGGUGACCGGCCACAUUGGGACUGAGAGACGGCGCAGAAUCCUACGGGAGGCAGCAGUGGGAAGUAUUACACAAUGGGGGGAAGCCAGAUGCAGAAACGCCGCGUGCGGGAUGACGGCCUUCGGGUUGUAAACCGCUUUCGCCUGUGACGAAGCGUGAGUGAAGGUAAUGGGUAAAGAAGCACAGGCUAAAUAAGUG